CUACUUUAUAACUUUCCAUCAAUUUGAAGUACUUAUAAAUAACAUAUAUUUGUUUCUUCUUUCCCAGUUUCAAUCUAUGUUAUUUCAUCCAAUUUUAACUCUUUAGAAGUGAUAUGUCCCAUAACAAUUGAUGUAGCUUCUGAUCCUUUCGUGAUAGAAGGACACUCUAGGUUAUUAAUGGCUGUUAGAGAUUCAUAUCAAAUGAAAGAUGAGCCCAGCUACAAAUAAGAUGACAUUUUCAUUUGAAUGUAUGGGGAAGACUUUGUCCAUGAUGUAUUUUCAUUGAUUUAUGUAUGAUAUACUUUGAAUUAUGAUAUAUACUUUCAAAUUCUUGUUACUUUAGUGCCUAUUUAUGAAAAAUUGGUAAAAUGUGAUUUACACCAAAACUAAUG
rnacentral:misc_RNA from 1 species